GAAAGCUAUUUAGGUAGCGCCUCGGACGAACACCAUUGGGGGUAGAGCACUGUUUCGGCUAGGGGGUCAUCCCGACUUACCAAACCGAUGCAAACUCCGAAUACCUACAAGUGCCGAGCAUGGGAGACACACGGCGGGUGCUAACGUCCGUCGUGAAAAGGGAAACAACCCAGACCGUCAGCUAAGGUCCCAAAGUCAUGGUUAAGUGGGAAACGAUGUGGGAAGGCUUAGACAGCUAGG
rnacentral:rRNA from 1 species